rnacentral:rRNA from 1 species
AUUGAACGCUGGCGGCAUGCUUUACACAUGCAAGUCGAACGGCAGCGCGGGCUUCGGCCUGGCGGCGAGUGGCGAACGGGUGAGUAAUGCAUCGGAACGUGCCCAGUAGUGGGGGAUAGCCCGGCGAAAGCCGGAUUAAUACCGCAUACGACCUGAGGGUGAAAGCGGGGGACCGAAAGGCCUCGCGCUAUUGGAGCGGCCGAUGUCGGAUUAGCCAGUUGGUGGGGUAAAGGCUUACCAAGGCGACGAUCCGUAGCUGGUCUGAGAGGACGACCAGCCACACUGGGACUGAGACACGGCCCAGACUCCUACGGGAGGCAGCAGUGGGGAAUUUUGGACAAGGGGGGCAACCCUGAUCCAGCCAUGCCGCGUGCGGGAAGAAGGACUUAGGGUGGUAAACUGAUUUUGUUCGGGAAGAAAUCCUCUGGGCUAAUACCCCGGGGGGAUGACGGUACCGGAAGAAUAAGCACCGGCUAACUACGUG